AUCGAGAACAAAUGAACAAGAAAAUAGGGAGAAAAUCGUAACAAUUUAUUUAUUUAUAUAUCAAUCAUACAAAAAACAAAAACAAAAACAAAAAUAAAAACAAAAAAAAAAAGUAAAAAAGAAAGAAAGAAAGAAAGAUGCUUACAAUAAUAGCAACAAAAUAGUCAAUAAUCACACACUCCAUCGCAUAAACUCAACGUGCUCUCAACGCAACAUUUAAUGAAACAAAAAUGCAACAACAUAAGUGAACACUGAACAAAAAAUGAGAGGCCCAGAAAGUGGCAGGCCAUGGCUAUCGCCAGUGUCCAUAACGGGCGACGAAGACGGUGGCAAUGUGCUGUCUUGUGCGAUGACCACCGAUAAAUAUAGAAUUGCCAUUCCCAUCAAUGCGCCAAAACGUGCCAUUUUUAUUUGCUGGAAAGGAGGAAUUGAAUGAUUUGGCUUGGAAUGAAUAUUUUUUGGUGUGAAUUUAUAGUUGUAAUUUUUUCUGCUUUCUUAAUUGCCUUUUAUACCACGGUUCAUGGGAUCCAGUAAUGUGAAAGAAUCAGUUAGGCUACCAGUCUAGAUCAAUUUGAAAAUUAC
rnacentral:lncRNA from 1 species